AAUAAGUGUCACAAUCUUCCGACAA
rnacentral:snRNA from 1 species